rnacentral:rRNA from 1 species
CCUACGGGUGGCAGCAGUGAGGAAUAUUGGUCAAUGGACGAGAGUCUGAACCAGCCAAGUAGCGUGAAGGAUGACUGCCCUAUGGGUUGUAACCUUCUUUUAUAUGGGAAUAAAAUGUUACACGUGUGGGAUUUUGUAUGUACCAUAUGAAUAAGGAUCGGCUAACUCCGUGACAGCAGCCGCGGUAAUACGGAGGAUCCGAGCGUUAUCCGGAUUUAUUGGGUUUAAAGGGAGCGUAGGUGGAUUGUUAAGUCAGUUGUGAAAGUUUGCGGCUCAACCGUAAAAUUGCAGUUGAAACUGGCAGUCUUGAGUACAGUAGAGGUGGGCGGAAUUCGUGGUGUAGCGGUGAAAUGCUUAGAUAUCACGAAGAACUCCGAUUGCGAAGGCAGCUCACUGGACUGCAACUGACACUGAGGCUCGAAAGUGUGGGUAUCAAACAGGAUUAGAUACCCCAGUAGUC